GGAUUAGAUACCCUGGUAGUCCUAGCCGUAAACGAUGGGUACUAGGAGGAGGUUAUUUUAGAUCUCUUUCGGAGCUAAUGUUUUAAGUACCCCGCCUGGGGAGUAUGGUCGCAAGGCUAAAACUCAAAGGAAUUGACGGGGGCUCACACAAGCGGUGGAGUAUGUGGUUUAAUUCGAAACAACGCGCAGAACCUUACCCGGUCUUGACAUACACGGAUUAGUCUAGUGAAAGCUAGGUGACUCUCUUCGGAGUGGAACGUGUACAGGUGUUGCAUGGCUGUCGUCAGCUCGUGCCG
rnacentral:rRNA from 1 species